CCAGGGUUAUCUGCAUGUCUUUGUCUCCGUAUUACUGUAACUGGUAACACAAGUGCAGAACCGCGUCGCCAGAGAGCUGCUACCUGCCUGCGAGCAGUCAGCAAAAAGCCCUCGAGAGACCCAGGUCUUUCCUCUCCGUUUGCCCAGGCAGCGUGGCUCGUUUGUACGUGUUGAAGAAAGUUUGACACCUUUUGGUUUCUUGAAGAGUGGAUGUCGGAGCAAUGGGAGAGGAAAGAUGUGAAAUGAACCUUACGGCUGCCCAGACUGGAAGGUGACUAUGGCGCUCACAUCAUCACUCAGAUGAUUCUCUUUCACACUGGACAUAAAACCUGACAUUUAUUUAAUGUAGUGCUGUGUUGGGUCCAGUCAAGUUCAGCAGGUAACAUUGAAGACAACAGGAGCUGUCAGAGGUCUCACAUGCCUGAGCCCAACCUUGCAUCCAGACUCUAAGGCUUGGAAGUUCCAGAUUGCUCAUGGUUCUCAGGUGUGUGCAUCAGCGUACGGCAAAGUGUGUGAACUAGAAGUCUUCCUACUAAUUGCCUGGAGCGGUUUAUAUUGGCAUAACUCACACCAGAAUCCUGUUCCCUGAACCUUGAAAAUAAAUACUUUCAUUUCAGGAAAGAAAAUGGAUCCACAACAAAUGGUGUUGUGUUGCUUAAUGGUUUCCUGACAAAUCCCUGUCUCUGCUUUGGAGCUGUGAAAACAGACGCAGACACUGCUCUCAUUUCAGUCUCGGGAGGAACCUGACAGGUGCAGCAAGCAGGCCGGUCAGGAUAAUAAAAGCCAUAGGUACGGUAUGUUCUUAAAAAAGACAUUGUGUGCAGCUCGGACACUUAGAGCUGUCUAAACUGCAGUGAGAGGAGAGGUCUUGCACUGCUGCCAUGUGUGGUGCUCACAUGUGCUCAACUCCCUCCAAAGUGUCAAGAAUGG